UUGGGCUAUUUUGGGCUUUUGUUAUUUAUAUUCAAAUUUUGAAAGUUUUUUUUUUAACAUCAAAACUUGAAAGUAUAUAAACACUAACGUAUUAAAAUGGAUCAUCAAAUAGCCGUUUAGCUAGAGGAUCAUGGCUUUUGAAUCCGAACUUGGAUAUUGGAGGUUUGCUUUCUUAUUUUUUUCCAAAGUUAUAUUUAAGGUUUCAUCUCGAUAAUUCGUUUUCUUCGUGAACAUGAAUUGGUUUUUUCUUUUCUUCUUCUUCUUUUCUCUAUCUAAUUUUCUUGUAGCCAUUUAUAGAGAAGAAUUUGAAUCAGAACUUGAAACUGGGUGUUUAUUUUUGUUAAAGAAUGUUUAGGUUUCGGCGACCAUUGUUAAUUUCAAAUUUAAUCUGAAUAUUUAGGUUUCAAUCUCACUCAGAGGAAGAUACGAAGACGGCGACGUUCCGUACAAUCCCCGGGGUAUCGGUGAGUGCUAACGCCGCAAAUGUCGCUGAGUUCGACAGAACGACGUCGUUUCUUCGAUUCCUUUGCAACCGAUUCCGAGAAGCUCCGGUCCGAUCAACGGUUUAGGUUUAUUCGCGUUCGAGAGGACGACGUCGUUUCCUCACCGGUUCUCAGAUUUGUUCAUGUUUAAUCAUCAGGUAAUGAAUUUGUUCGAUUAAUUGUUUUUUUUUUCAAUUUUCAUCAUCACUAGUUUUUUUCCUCUUUCAGUUUUUCUUGUGGGAUUUUAGGUUUGCAGUUAUACAUCGCGAAAUUUCCAGAAAUCAUCUGGGAGGUGGUGUAACUUUACUCUUUUGAUUUUUAUAGUUUCACAAAUUGUAUCUUUCUUUUGCAGUAAGAGCUCAGAAACUACGUAGGGUUUUUCUCAAUCACUCAAAGUAAUACACAUCUGCAUGCAUUGAUAUGCAUUCAAACAUUCAUCAUGUGCAUUCAUACAUUCAUCAUAUGCAUUCAUCGUAUACAUAUGCAUACAUCCAUAUAACAUACAUAAUACAUACCCAGCUUACUUCUUUCUUUUUUAGAUUUUUUUUAUUUACCGCUUGCUUCUUUUUUAUUUUUUGUUUCUUCGUUGAUUCUUUGCUUCUUUGUCCUUAUUUUCUUUGUUGUCUAUUCUCUUUGCCUCCUUCCUUGGUUUCGUGUUUUCUUAGUUUCUUCUUUGAUUCUUUGGUUUCUUGAUUCAAUUGUUUGUAUAUCUGCUUGCUCGAUAAGUUGGUUUCUAUUUCUUCUACAACGGAUGGAUCCCGUAAGGCAUCUGACACUUCUUCUCGUGAUAUAUACUUUUACUCAACUGACCUUUUUAUAUCUGCCUUUUCUCUAACUUAUUCAGUUUCUGACAUGCAAGAUAAUACCUCAGAGUCUUAGAAAAACGGCUAGAUCACAUUAGCAGGAUCCACGGAAAUAAGCGUCAGUACUCCCAAAGAGAUGGCUGCUUGCCUUGACCAAUCAGUCCAGUCGUUCACAUGACAUUUUCACUAUCACUGUGGAACAAAUGCGCAAGAUCAAUACAGAUUCUCCUGAAAAUGGUAUUUACAAUGGGAGCUUGAAAGAAGAGUAUCAUUGUGCCAAGUUGCACAUAGUAUACCUUGCCGGUUCAGAACGAACCAAAAGAACUGGUUCUGACGGUAUGAAAGUUAAAGAAGGAGUUUACAUAAAUAAAGGCCUCCUUGCGCUGGGUAAUGUCAUCAGUGCGCUUUAAGAUGAGAGAAAGCGCAAAGAUGGUGCUCAUGUUCCUUACAAAGACAGUAAACUUACACAUAAAUAAAGCUUGCAUCAGUACUGCAGAUAUUAAUGCUGAGGAAACACUUAACACACUUAAAUAUGCCAUCCGUGCUCGAAACAUCCGGAACAAACCUGUUGUUAAUAGAGAUCAUGUGUCCAGUGAGAUGCUGAAAAUGCGCCAACAGCUAGAGUACUUGCAGGCAGAGCUUCCCUUACGGGAUGGAGGAUCCUCAUGUGCGAACUCCAGGAUGAAAUCAUCGGUCUCGUCAAACCUGAUGGGCUAAAAAGGAGCUUGCACAGUAUGGAGUCGUCCAAUUAUGCUAUGGUUGAAGCCACAAUAGGUGAUUCAAGGGAAAUAGAUGAAGAGGCAAAAGAGUGGGAGCACAAACUCUUGCAAAGUAGUAUGGAUAAAGAGUUGCAUGAACUGAACCGUCGUCUGGAGGAAAAGGAGGUCUCUUUCACUUGUUUUCUUAGAACUAAAACGUCCUGGAGGGUUUGAGAUUUAUUCUUGUCCAUAACUACAUAAUCGAUGUGUGAAAAUAGUCUGAAAUGAAGCUUUUUGACGGCUAUGAUCCGGCUGCGCUAAAGCAACAUUUUGGGAAGAAAGUUGCAGAGGUGGAGGAUGAAAAGAGAUUUUUUCAGGUGGAAUAUGUUUUGCAUUUGAUGCUCAAGUCUCAUCAAAAAGGAUCAUUUUGAGUUGUUGAACUGUUCGGUUAUUUCUUGCUUUAGGGAAGAGAGAAACCGUUUGUUGGCUGGAAUUGAAAACCUUGCUUCUGAUGGUGAAGCACAGAAGUUGCAAGAUGUGCAUGCUCAGAAUUUGAAAUCGCUUGAAGCACAGCUUCAGGACCUUAAGAAAAAUCAAGAGAACCAUUGUCAGCUACUGAAGCAGAAACAAAAGAGUGACGACGCUGCUCGGAGGUUAGAGGAAGAAUUCUAUCCAUCAAGGCACAUAAGGUUCAGCUGCAACACAGAAUGAAACAAGAAGCAGAACAGUUUCGACAGUGGAAAGUCUCCCGGGAGAAGGAACUUGUGCAGGCAGAAAGAGCGAGUAUAAAAGGCAUAAGCUACAAGCUUCGAAUCAGCGCCAGAAAAUGAGGAAGAUAGAAGAGGCUGCAAUGGGUACCAAGAGAUUAAAAGAAUUGUUGGAAGCUCGGAAAUCUUCUCCUCGUGAACACACAUGUGGUACACACGGUUUUGGAACAAAGUAGGCGUUGCAGCGAUGGCUAGAUCAUGAAUUGGAAGUCAUGGUGAAUGUACAUGAAGUACAAGAAACAAAGCCAUGUGUAUGUCUCCCCAAUGCAUUUAGCCUUUGUAAUAAGUUAAUCAUCACCAAGACUGUUCACUUUGUGUGGUUAGCCUUGCCGGAGAGUUUUCUGUGUUAAGACAAGUGGAUGAGUUGGCAGUGAAAGGCUUAAGUCCUCCAAGAGGGAAGAAUGGCUUUGUUUGGGCAUCAUCGUUGUCACCUAAUGCAAGGAUGGCUCGAAUAUCUUCACUUGAGAACAGCUCGGCAUAUCUUCAAAUUCUCUAGUAGCCAUGGCCUCACAACUCUCUGAGGCAGAAGAACAUGAACGUGCUUUAACAAACUGUGGCUGCUGGAACCAGCUACGUUCAGUGGGAGAGGCAAAGAACUUGCUUCAAUAUAUGUUCAACUCUCUUGCAUAAACAAGGUGCCAAGCUUCUUCCUUAAUUCUUUGAUUUCUUAACUCAAAUGUUUGCAUUUCUGCUUGCUGGAUAAGUUGGUUUGUAUUUCUUCUACAACGGAAAAGGAUCAUAUAAUACCCCAUGCUCUUAGAUAAACGGCCAGAUCACAUUAGCAGGAUUCACUGAAGUAAGCGUCAGUACUCCCAAAGAGAUGGCUGGUUGCCUUGACCAGUAUUGUAUUGUUUGUUUAGGAGAAUGUCUGAUGGAUCCAAAGGAUUAACGAUACAAAAAUAAAUAUAUGUACUCUCCUUACUUCUUUAAAACGGUAAAAUGACAUAAGAAUUUGCUUCUAGGAAGGAGAAUUGGAUUAUUUCACAUAAGUCGACAUUAUAUCGUUGCAUUACUGACUUUCAAUGAAAUUUUUUGAGGUUUUUUUUCAUUAACAUUUUCCACUCUUUUCUUUUUACCUACAUUCAUAGUCCCGAACAUAUUUUUGUCUUUUGCUUCUCAGGUAUGCUUGUUUCCACACUUGCAUUGCACAUCCCUGUUCAAUGUAUAGGGUCUCAUUAGAUGUAUGAAAUCAUGACUUUUUCUUUGUUCAAAAGUAGUUUCGUUUGCUUGAAGCUGCAAAUCUUUAUUCGUUACUGAUAGGACAUUUGUGACCAGUUUAUCAAACUGUUUCAGGACUGUCAGGACAAAGGUACAAUUAUUUAGAUAAUCUAGAAGGAUCUUGCUACACACGUAUCCUACGUAGUCAAAGACACGUUUUUGCUUAAUCAGGUCCAUUGCAGAUGGAACUCUAAAUCCUUCUGCCAGGUAUUUGUCUUCGCUUUUAUUCAGUUUACAUGUGAUGCACUUUAGGUAUCUGACAUCAUUCUAGAGUUGAAUAAGAGUGUAUUUGGAUAUGAUAAAGUCAAUAUUCAUCUGGAGACAUGUGAAGCUUGAGCUAACUGCAAAAUGAAACAUAAUGAGACUAUGUUCGAGUAAUGAAGACUAACUACUAAGCAAACACCAUCUCGCUUAUUUUUGUUGUUGUUCAUAGGUGCCUUUCUUCUAUAUUACGUCGGCUUUCUUUCUGUUGCUCUCAAUUCAAGUCCCAUGUUAGAAUACAGUUGGAGCAAUCAAAAGUUCUUUCACUUUAAUAGUUCAUAGAAACUGCAAAAGUGAGAAUUCACUUGAAACAUUUGUGAAGGCAUAAUGUUUUUCUAAUCGAUUAAUAUGUGUAUGUUCUUUUCAUCUUGGGUGGUGGUGGUGAAGUGAAGGAUGUGUGCUUAUUAAGAAAAGUAUCGAGAAUUCACUGCAGAGGUGAAAACAGUUGAAAGCGACUCUGGAUUGCAGAUACUCCAUCCGGUGAGGUGUUGGUCUGGCAAAAAAACAAAUAAGGCAGUGCUUGAGAGUGGAAAUUUCAAGAAGAAUUUGCAUCUUUCAACUAACUCAAGCUUCACUCUCUUCCGGUAUGGUGUUCAUUCUCAUUGUUUUAUUCAGUCUUCGAUUUUCUUCUAUGAUUUGAAAGUUAAUCUCUCUUUUAUGUUCAGUGUAGCAGAUUUCAUAGCCAAGGUAGCCGAGAACAUUAUAGGUAUAUACUAUCGAAAUCACAACAGUUAUGCUAUCCACAGAGAGUGUGAUCGUUGUGAUUUCAGGACAUGCAUUCAUGCAUCACAUUCAUACAUACAUGCAUAUGUUCAUGCAUUGCAUACACACAUACAUUCAUGCAUAUUUGCAUCCUUUAUUCUAGUUUUGUUCAUUUCUUUCAUCAUAUGCUUAAUUUAAUUGAUUUCUUGCUUAUUUAAUCAAUUUGAUUGAUUCUUUCUUUUUGGUUUCUUCGUUUCCUUGAUUGCUUCCGUACAUGCUUAAGUUGUUUACUUGCUUUCUUUUGUGAUUCUUUUUGGUUUCUCUGCUUCUUUCUAUUUUUCUGCUUAGCGCUUUGGUUGCUUUUUUUGGGUUUAUUGUUUACUGCAUGGCUUCUUUGCUACUUUUUCUUAUUUGCUUACAUGCUUCUUAAAAUGCAAUAAAUUAUGCAUAGCUAAAUAUUAUCACUCUUACAGUUUAUGUAACUUGCAGUAAAAACUAUGUCGUAAAACCUAUUGAUUUAUGUGGUGAGUUCGCUGUAAAAAUAUGAGUUACUAUUUUUCCAAUAGUGUUGAUUGGUAACAUUUUCGAUGUAUAAGUUGCAGUAUAUAUUAUUUUUAAAAAAUAUAAAUAAUAUUUAAUACAAUUUAAUAAGAUAUUUUAAAAAUAAAAUACAUAAAUUAACAUUAACUAAGGAUAUUGAUCUAUAUAUAUAUAUAUAGCUCCCAUAUAUAUACAAAUAUUUUAUGUACAUAAAUUUUUAAUUACCAAACAAUAUUAAAAAUUAAAAUUAUUUGAAAAUUUUAAUGGACUAUUUAAAUGGGAAUUAUACAAAUAUUUUAUUUACCUAAAUUUUUAAUCAUCAAAGAAAUUAACAACUAAAAUUAUAGAUUUUUUUUAACUAAUGAAAAUGAAAAUACUUUUCAGAAAGGCUUUUUUGUAUAAUUUUGAGAAAAACUUUGGCUAACAAGUAUAUAACCAUAUUAAUUGUUAAAUAUAUUGUAUUAAUUAAUAUAAACUAAAUGUACACAACUACAACUACGUGAUUAUGUAUUUGUAAAUUGUUAAAUUUGCUAAAAUUCAUAAAGAAGGCGUGGGGUAGUUAAUAGACAAAACUAAAAAUUUCUAACUCAAAUCUUAAUACAUGAGAUUUUUGUUGAUGUUGAUUUAAGAUUUGAGUUAUCAUUUUUACAAAGAUUAUAACUCAAAAUUGUUACUCAACAAUAAACAAUUGUAACUCAAACACAACUUCAAAAUUUUAAAACUAAUUCAUGAUUGGUAACAUUUUUUAUUUAUGUGCUUAACCCAACCUAAAUCAAAUGUAAUACAUGUUACCAAUCAACGCCUAUGUUUUAUUUUAUAGCUGUGUAUUCAAAAAUAUUAGUUUUAGUCUUUUAAACAGUAAUUAAUACAAAUAUAAUUUAUUAACAAUAGACAAUUAUGUUAAUUGUUUCAGUUGGUUAGUUUUCCGUAAAUUGUUGUCUAAAUUAUGUACAAUAUUUAUCAUUACCAACAAUAUUUAACAUAUUUAGCAAAAUUCAAAAAGACAAAUUAAAAUAUUUACGCAUUCUCAUUUUGCAAAAUAUUAUAACAGUAAUGACACCAAAAUUUAUCGUAAUCAAAAACUAAUAACUUGAUACAAUUUUAAUAAAAAAUUAUUAGUCAAAAAUAUGCCCGUGAAUCAAAACCUAGUAAUAGUCUUAAUUUCAUAUGAAAGAUUAUAAUAAUUGUUUGAAAAACUUACUUACCACAUGUCCAUUGCGCAUAUAUACUUAUUAAAAUGAGUUUUUUAGAAAUUCAAGAGUCUCCAUUACUUAUCUUCUGUUAGAUACUCUUGUAAUAAGAAUUAUUUCUAACUGUUAAUUUUCAAAAGAAAAUAACAAUUACAUAAAUAAAUAUGUUAAAAAUACUUAAAUUAAGAAUACCUUUAGAAUUAUUUUGAUCCAUGAAUUAUCAGUUGAGCAAUUUCAUUGAGAAUUUCCUAUAGAGUAAAUAACUUGAUAUAUCAUAAGAAAUUUAUGAGAUUACGAGAACUUUUGGUGUCAUUAAUAUAGGUUCAGUCACUUUUUAACAACAUUU